GUCAUGUGCCAGGUAGCUGAUAUCGAGCGCUGCAUUGACGGUUGGACGCGGUGCGCCGUCGAAAGCGAUGCCGGGCACGCUGUCGGGCGUGAUCUUGA
rnacentral:sRNA from 1 species